rnacentral:rRNA from 1 species
AUGGAUCAGCCGGUGCCCUCCAUCUGCGGCCUCCACCCGGGCAUCGCCGUCACCGGCUUCUGCUCCGCCUGCCUCCGCGAGCGGCUCGCCGGCCUCCACCCCAGCGACCCCGCCGACUCGGCGGAGCUCCGCCGCUGCAAGUCCUUCUCCUACGCCCGCUCCGCCGCCGCCUACUUCGAGCCGCAGCGCCGCUCCUGCGACGCCCGCGGCGCCGCCGCCCUCUUCCACCAAGAGACAACCUACCUCCCGGGGGAGGAGGAACAUCUUCCGCCAACAGCGGCGGGCAGGCCGAUGAAAGACCACAUCCACCAAGAGUCCUCCUCCAAGAAGACCGCCGGCACAUUCGGGGGGUUGGGCAAGAAAUGGCAGGAAUGGCGCCGCAAGAGCAAGCUCAAGAAGCAGGAGCAGGGGCCCAUCGCCAGCAGGGCCGCCAUGCCGCACGAGAAUCUCCGCCACCGCAGCUUCCGCGACACGCGCUCCGAGGUCGCCGUCGACGCGCUCGGCCGGCGCUCCAUCGAUGUGGACACCCUUCUCUCGAUGGACGCCGGCCGCAUCUCGGUGGAUGAGCCCCGAGCUUCUUGUGACGGCUACCACGGCGUACGGUUGCGCAUUCCCCCGAUGCUGUCCCUGGUCGAGGAUGCGCCCGUCCCACGCUCUGAUGGCCAAAUCCCCGUGGAGGAAGACGAGGACACUGAGCCCGGCGGCUGCGCCCAGACAAGGGACUACUACUUGGACUCCUCCAGCUCCAGCAGGAGGCGCCGGAGCGUGGACCGCUCCUCCUUCUCCAGCCGCAAGUCAUUCUCUGAUGCCAGUGACCUGCCCAGGAUGAUGGCCGGUGCCACUGCCAAUGCCAAUGCCCGGGUUUCACCGGCCAUUGGUGCCGAGUUCUAUCAGUACCACCACGCUCAGAGUCAGAGUGUUCUUGACCAUCAUCAGCAGUGGGAGCAGGGACCGAAUUCUUAUUCUCUCCGGGAUGAUGAUAUGUCAGGGAGCAUUGAUCCCGCGGCAUUCCGGGAUGGCAUCCCUCUGCCGGCCAAGAAGUCUAAGAAGUGGAUCAAGGGGUGGAACAUCUUUGGUCUCAUACAUAAGAAGAGCAGCACCAAGGAAUCUGAAGCUGCCAGUUUGGCCAACAGAUCAUUCUCGGAGAAGUGGCCCGAGCUCCGCGCAAGGGGAUACAAUGGGCAGAUGCUCAGGUGCAACAGCAGCGUAAGCGCGAGGAGCUCCUUCGGUAAUAGUGGUGCAGCAAUGGGCGGCAUGAGCGGGAGGAGGAGCAAUGUGGAAAUGCAUGUUAAUGGCUUAGGGAGGAUGAGAAAGGAUGAGGUUUUACUCGAGAGGAAUUUCAGUGCAAGGUACACGCCUUGCACGGUCGAUAAUGGCGCGAUCCCUUAUCCAAUCGGAGGUGCCCAAUUCAGCCGGCGAAAUCAGAAUGGGAUGCCCGGGAAAGGAAGGCCUGCUCGUUCAUCCAAUUCUUUGCCUCGUAGCUCGCUCGGGAUGUACUGA